rnacentral:rRNA from 1 species
UGGGGAAUAUUGGGCAAUGGGCGCAAGCCUGACCCAGCAACGCCGCGUGAGGGAAGAAGGUUUUCGGAUCGUAAACCUCUGUUGUAGGGGACGAGGAAAAGACGGUACCCUACGAGGAAGCUCCGGCUAACUACGUGCCAGCAGCCGCGGUAAUACGUAGGGAGCGAGCGUUGUCCGGAAUGACUGGGCGUAAAGGGCGCGUAGGCGGCCCGUUAAGUCUGGAGUGAAAGUCCUGCUUUCAAGGUGGGAAUUGCUUUGGAUACUGAUGGGCUGGAGUGCAGGAGAGGAAAGCGGGAUUACCGGUGUAGCGGUGAAAUGCGUAGAGAUCGGUAGGAACACCAGUGGCGAAGGCGGCUUUCUGGACUGAAACUGACGCUGAGGCGCGAAAGCGUGGGGAGCAA